UCUUUGACUUUUCACGAUACUGUAACACUAGCUUUCCUAACCAAGACUGAGAUCUUACUCUAGUUUUAUUUGAAUGAACAGAAACAUUAUUGCAGAACUAAUUUACCAGCAUGAUAAGCGCAGCACUAAUCAUAAAACUUGCUUAACAUUUUUUACAUUAAUUUAAGGAAAGGUGUUCAACAAGCAGGACUAGAUAAACCAAUUGACAACAGUUGCUGGAACAUUUAUUUAGAAACCAUGAAUAAA